rnacentral:misc_RNA from 1 species
UGAGAAAACAUGUGGGUACUAGAUGGGGAACAAAAAUCAAAGUAAAAGUUGGGCUGGGAAGAGAUUGGAGAUUCAUAAGAGCAAGAAGGAUAAGAAGAGAAAGAAUAUGGUGAAGAAGGAAAAGUAGAGGGAGAUGGUGAAGAAUAAGAAAGGGAGGCUAGUGUAGAGGUUGUUGAACUACUUUUCAUAAAAGGUUCAAGUGCCAUCAUGAGUUCUUCCCUGCAAGGAUCCGUAAUUGAGAAACCUGGUGCUGUGCUGCUAUUGUAGAAAUCUGUAGCUGCUGCCAUACCUUUCUCAGUCUAUAAAAGACAAAGACCCUGAAAUUAACCUGUUGCUUAACAAAAUUCAAGAACAGGGAGUACUAGACUACUAGUUUUAUAUUAACAGAAACCAAAGGAAGAU